rnacentral:rRNA from 1 species
CUACGGGGCGCUGCAGUAAGGAAUAUUGCACAAUGGAGGCAACUCUGACGCAGCCAUGCCGCGUGCAGGAAGAAGGCCUUAUGGGUCGUAAACUGCUUUUAUUUAGGAAUAAACCCCCGAACGUGUUCGGGGCUGAAGGUACUAAACGAAUAAGCACCGGCUAACUCCGUGCCAGCAGCCGCGGUAAUGCGGAGGGUGCAAGCGUUAUCCGGAUUUAUUGGGUUUAAAGGGUGCGCAGGCGGGCUAUUAAGUCAGUGGUGAAAUCCCGGGGCUCAACUCCGGAACUGCCAUUGAUACUGAUAGUCUUGAGUUUGGUUGAAGUGGGCGGAAUGUAGCAUGUAGCGGUGAAAUGCAUAGAUAUGCUACAGAACACCAAUCGCGAAGGCAGCUCACUAAGCCAAAACUGACGCUCAUGCACGAAAGCGUGGGGAUCAAACAGGAUUAGAUACCCCAGUAGUC